UUGGGAAUAUUGCACAAUGGGGUCACCCCUGAUGCAGCAAUCCCGCGUGAGUGAUGAAGGCCUUCGGGUCGUAAAGCUCUUUUGGCAGGGAAGAAGGGAAACUUGACGGUACCUGCAGAAUAAGCACCGGCUAACUACGUGCCAGCAGCCGCGGUAAUACGUAGGGUGCAAGCGUUGCUCGGAAUCAUUGGGCGUAAAGCGCGUGUAGGCGGUUUACUAAGUCUGGUGUGAAAUCCCGGAGCUUAACUCCGGAAGUGCACUGGAUACUGGUAAACUAGAGGGUAAGAGAGGGAAGUGGAAUUCCUGGUGUAGGGGUGAAAUCCGUAGAUAUCAGGAGGAACAUCGGAGGCGAAGGCGGCUUCCUGGCUUACUACUGACGCUAAGACGCGAAAGCGUGGGGAGCAAACAGG
rnacentral:rRNA from 1 species